rnacentral:rRNA from 1 species
GGGGAAUAUUGCACAAUGGGCGCAAGCCUGAUGCAGCAACGCCGCGUGAGGGAUGACGGCCUUCGGGUUGUAAACCUCUUUUAGUAGGGAAGAAGCGAAAGUGACGGUACCUGCAGAAAAAGCACCGGCUAACUACGUGCCAGCAGCCGCGGUAAUACGUAGGGUGCGAGCGUUGUCCGGAAUUAUUGGGCGUAAAGAGCUCGUAGGCGGCUCGUCGCGUCUGCUGUGAAAACCCGAGGCUCAACCUCGGGCCUGCAGUGGGUACGGGCGAGCUAGAGUGCGGUAGGGGAGAUUGGAAUUCCUGGUGUAGCGGUGGAAUGCGCAGAUAUCAGGAGGAACACCGAUGGCGAAGGCAGAUCUCUGGGCCGUAACUGACGCUGAGGAGCGAAAGCAUGGGGAGCGAAC